AACGCGAAGAACCUUACCUGGGCUCGAACGGCUUAAGAUCAUCCUUGGAAACAGGGACUUCUCGCAAGAGACUUGAGUCGAGGUGCUGCAUGGCUGUCGUCAGCUCGUGUCGUGAGAUGUUGGGUUAAGUCCCGCAACGAGCGCAACCCUUGUCCUGUGUUGCCACUCCGCAAGGAAGCACUCUCAGGAGACCGCCAGCGAUAAGUUGGAGGAAGGUGGGGAUGAUGUCAAGUCAUCAUGGCCUUUAUGUCCAGGGCUACACACGUGCUACAAUGGACGGUACAAAGCGCUGCAAACCCGCGAGGGGGAGCUAAUCGCAAAAAACCGUUCUCAGUUCGGAUCGCAGGCUGCAACUCGCCUGCGUGAAGCUGGAAUCGCUAGUAAUGCCGUAUCAGAACGAUGGCGUGAAUACGUUCCCGGGCCUUGUACACACCGGAGUA
rnacentral:rRNA from 1 species